AUGCUUGCUUCAGUAGCAUGGAUACAAAAAUUGGAAGAAUACAGAGCAGAUUAGCAUGACCCUUGCGCAGGAAUGAUAUGCAAAUUUGCAAAUGUUCUACAUAAAC